rnacentral:rRNA from 1 species
GACGAACGCUGGCGGCGUGCUUAACACAUGCAAGUCGAGCGGAAAGGCCCUGCUUUUGCUGGGUGCUCGAUUGCCGCACGGGUGAGUAACACACGAGUAACCCGCCCUUGACUUUCGGAUAACUUCAGGAAACUGGGGAUCAUACACGAUAGGAGCUCCUGCUCCACGGGGUGGGUUGGAAAAUGUCGGCGGUUGUGGCUGGACUCGCUGCUUCUCAGCUGGUUUGUGUGGUAGUGGCUUACCAAGGGUUUGACGGGUAGCCCGCCUGAGAGGGUGACCGGCGACCAUGGGCCUGAGAUACGGACCAGAAUGCUACGGUAGGCAGCAGUGGAGAAUAUUGCGGAAUGGGCGGAAGUCUGAGACAGAAACGCUGCGUGCGGGAUGACGGCUUUUGGGGGGAAAACAGCUGUCGAAGGUGACGAAGCGGGAGUGACGGUAACGGAUAAAGAAGCACCGGCUAACUACGUG